UCUGCCAAGUGCCGGUCUGAUAUUCACCCUGGCAGGAAAAGUUAAAGCGCAGUUUAGUCGAACGUAAAAUGUCUUUGUAAAAUCUGAUAUGUGAGAAAAAUAAUUAAAAAUAAACAAGCAGAAUGAUGGCCAAUUGAGGACAGACUGCAAAUAACUGGACACACGGCGAAAACAAAUCAUUACUAAGACAGGAAAGGGAAUAUUUCAAACAACAUUGAUGGUAGCCUAUAGUCCGUGAAUGUUUCCAAGCAAGCACACGCCAUAAUGACAAUACUGUCAGAAGGUUGGACGUGUUUAAGUGGCCUCAGCAAGGUUGUAAUCACAUUUCUACUAACGUUAGUCUAGUAAAAACAAAAAAAAACUUGUCACAAAGUAGGUUUACAACCAGCUAAGCACUAUCCAAAAAUUCCAAAGUUGCUUAGGUGGCUACCUAGUUACCUUAACACAACCUCCGCGACCGAAGGUUUAAUACCAACGGAGCAGUAACGACUGUUAUUUAGCUGACAAGCUCGUUUCUAUUUCGAAACACUGUGCUUCAGCUUUGUUGUAAGUAUCUCGCUUAUUUAACGUAGCAGCUAGCUAGUCAUAUAUUAUGUUUGAACUGUUUUAUAAUAAGGUCGAGCUUACGUUAUUAACCAGCUAGCUUAGUCUCUACAUUUUUAAAUAUUCUAGCUAGCCAGCUAGCUAAGAAAGUUUGUUUCAUUGGGCUGUGGUUAGCGAACGUUAGCUAACUUUAGUCACGGUAAUUUAUUAUGACUACUUUUAGUCUGAUGUAGCGAGCUAUCAUUGAGAUUUGCGGACUAUAACGUCAUACAGUUCGUCCCUGUGUCAUACAUCAAGAAUUUUAAAUCAGAAGGACUUUGACAAAAGAAGAAACAUCUCACGCUCUGGAAAAAACAUCCCCUGAGGCACAACGUUUUGCUACAAAGCCAUUUUAAAGCUUGCAGCUUUCGUCAUAGCCUCAAGAAAGAAGGCUGUCCAGGGCCGACAUAAUCUGUCCCAGCUGACCAUCUGCCAGGUGGCUGAGACUGAGGGUUGUAACUUGGGUGUCACAUUGGGAUGAGAGGACUUCUAGGAAGUCGUCACUAAAU